CCGUUGUAGUCUAGCUGGU
rnacentral:siRNA from 1 species